UCGGGGCUCCCGAUCCCGCCUCACCAGCCGCCGCACGCGGCGCCCAGCUCCCCCGGGCGCCCCUGGCGGAGCCCGGGCACCCACUGAACUUGGAGGCUGUUAAAUGGCAGGCGAACAAGCAGCCACAUCUUAAAAGGCAGCGUGGGGGGGUCAAGAAAGAACCAUCUGGGAGGGCUCCACCCUUCCCCACCUGCAGAAAAGAUCCGAGGUGAAGCCAAGACGCCUGUCACUGCCUCGCUGGGGGUGAAAAAAAAAAAAAAAAAAAAAACCACAAAGAGGCUCCUCGCAAAAUCAAGACUCGGUAGUCCCUUCCCUGGGAUCCAAGGAGAACGCGACCCGGACGCCGAAGAGCAGGGAACCAGUACAACUUUCUCACUGAGACUCAUCCCGUUUUCUCUCCCAACCGUAAAAGACAGCAACCCCGGCUGUCAUCCUAUCCGCGACUGCGCCCACCGGGCUUGGCUCUCUCUCCAAGAAAGCCCUGAAACCCCCAGGGCCGGGUUGCCUAUGGCAGAAGAAGCAGCCCUCUGUUUAAAGCAUUUAGAGCACUCUCAGGACGGUGACCUCAGCAAGGACUUAAGUGUUUUGCUCUCUACAGAGCAAAGGCAAGCUGCCUCUGCUGUGUCAUCCUCUCCUGAGAGCGGUCACAAACCCCACAGCCAGGGAUGCUCACAUCGCAUCUGAGUCCGCUCUGCAAUCACACUGCAGAUCCAAGUUAAGUGACUUCCAUCUGAUCCUCCGCCCCUCUUACUGAGGAAAAAAAAUAUAUACAUGUGUAUAUAGUA